rnacentral:rRNA from 1 species
GAUGAACGCUAGCUACAGGCUUAACACAUGCAAGUCGAGGGACCGGCGCACGGGUGAGUAACACGUAUCCAACCUGCCCUUUACUCGGGGAUAGCCUUUCGAAAGAAAGAUUAAUACCCGAUAUAAAGGAUGGGGAUGCGUUCCAUUAGGUUGUGGGUGAGGUAACGGCCCACCAAGCCUUCGAUGGAUAGGGGUGCGGAGAGGAAGGUCCCCGACAUUGGAACUAAGGCACGGUCCAAAAUCCGACGUGAGGCAGCAGUGGGGAAUAUUGGUGAAGGGGCGGUAGUCUGAACCAGCCAAGUAGCGGGAAGGAUGAAGGCUUAUGGGUGGUAAACUUCUGUUAUAUAAGAAUAUGUAUUAUAUGAAUAAGGAUCGGCUAACUCCGUGCCAGCAGCCGCGGUAAUUC